rnacentral:misc_RNA from 1 species
UAUCCGUGAUGGUCGUAUGGAGAAGUUCUACUGGGCACCAACUAGGGAGGAUAGAAUUGGUGUUUGCAAGGGUAUUUUCAGAACUGACAACGUCCCUGAGGAAGCUGUUGUAAAGAUUGUCGAUUCCUUCCCUGGACAAUCUAUUGAUUUCUUUGGUGCUUUGAGGGCACGAGUAUAUGACGAUGAAGUGAGGAAAUGGGUUUCAGGAACUGGAAUUGAACUCAUUGGUGAAAAACUUUUGAACUCUAGAGAUGGACCCCCAACUUUUGAGCAACCAAAAAUGACCCUUGAGAAGC